UGUUUGCUUGGCCUAACAACUUUGCCUCUAAUGAGCCUCUCAGUAACUUUUUUCUUCACAAAUCACUCUAUCUGUCCUACACCCAGUCUUGCUGCUGUAAAGGUUUUUCUUUUCUUCCCCCCCUUUUCCCAGAAAUAAUAAUGCUCAGAGUGAAGUCUGCACCGGGAGCGUUGUUCCGUAUGAAGCACCAUGACUCAGAGCAGCUUUGGGUGUACAGGAGGAGCUGUGACCUAAUGAGGCACUGUGCAACUCAAGACCACAUGAAGUCAUACGAAGCUCCACGUUCAGCCACUUUAAAACAAGCUGUGUGCAGACAAAUGUGCUGCAGAGCUUCAGGAGUACACGACUGAUGAGCACGGAGCAUCUGUGGGAAAGGGGGGAAAAAAAACACCGUCUUCAGAUUUUGAGGAGCAAACAUGACCCUUUCUGUUCCUACUGAUUUCCACCCACAUUCGGUUAGUGUGAGAGAAGGAGGAAAAUGAAAGAAAAAGAAGAGGAAAAAAGCAGAUUUUCUUUGCAUGGAAGGACUGAAGAAUGUAUUGUUUUCUCAAUCACAAGCGAGUGCUUUCAUCACCAUUUUUGCUCGACAUUCUAAGUGACAGAGAGUUUUCUAUAUUUUACUUGUAUGACUUAGGAGAGGUCACGUUUGUCAAAGUCCCUCUGCAGAAGUGAGCCUUCUCUUUGGAUGUAUGCAAAUUCUACAGCACAUAUGCAGUUUGUAAUUUGCCGAUAGGUAUAAGCAUAUGCAAAAUGGAGAUUCAGUGUGUAUGUGCAAGCUUGCAAAAUUAAUCAACCGAGAAUAUACAGAACUACAAAUGCUUUGUUGAAAAGAUUUAUGAAUUAACCUCCUAUGGAAGCUUUCACUCAGGGAUGCUAAAUACACUUCAUUUUUAUUAAUAAUUAAUAUGAUUUACAUGAUAAUAUUUUUCACCCAUAAUAGCAUUUUAAAAAUACAUCCCAGUCGUGAAAGGACCCGUCAGUACUUCUGCCUGUUCACAAGUGCUUUAGUGGUGCUUUUUAUGAGUAUAAAUGAUGCCAGUCUGGAGCCCCUCCAGGAUUAGAUCUUAAUCCCUAAAGAUACGUAAGUGCUACCACCUCUGCUUUAUAGACUGAAAACUGGGAGUUGAAUGGGCAAAUUCGUGCAAGUUUACACACAGUACAUAAGGGAGUAAAGAAGGCAAGUCUAGAACACCAAACUUGUGAAGAGUAUUGUAAGAACAGUUACUCUCUCUUCUUAGAGACACUUUCGUAUCAGCAGCUGAUCUGAACAUUAUCAACAGAAAAACUGAAGCCCUUGGCCUCACUGCAAGUCCUGUAUUUCAGUGCCCAACCAGGUGAGCCUACACUUGAUUCCUCCUGUUUUCAGAAAUGGAAGCCAAGGGUGUUCAAAUGAUUCUCAUCAUACAAGAGGCAAAAAAAAA